UUGCUGUGAUGACCAUCUUAGGACACCUUUGGAACACCCAUGAAAAAAACCACAAGUUAUUCUGAGCAAC
rnacentral:snoRNA from 1 species